rnacentral:lncRNA from 1 species
UUGAAUAUGCCUUGUUUCACAUAAAUAAUAUAGGUACUAUAUAAAAAUAAAAAUAAAACUAUUUAGAAAAGGAUACAAUAGAUUAUUUUCAAACCAAAAGUAUAUAUUAUUUGAUAUUGUAGUUAAUUGUUAAUUGAAUAAGCCUCGUGUGACAUAAAUAUUAUAUGUACUAAUUAAAAAAACACCUAUUGUAAAAUAUUUUACAUAUAAUCUAUUUUUAAAUGAAGAUAUAACAUANAAAAGGGAGAAAGAAACUGGGGGUAAUAAUAUUAUAUUCACAUCUCAUGAUUUUAUCAAAAUUAAAUAUUAAUAAGUUUUUCCAACAAUCAGAUCAAUUCAACCACAAACUUAUGCGUUGAAAACAACCAUUGAACCUUGCGCAGUCAUAAGUGGGUUUCAUAUAUGUUUGUGUAUUUUUUUUCAAAAUUCAACCACAAACUUAUAUUAUGUGUGUGUAUUUUUUUCAAAAUUUAAUUAUACUACUCUAAAACAUCUUUCAAAUGCAAUCAAUCAAAUCGCGUAUAUUUAGAUUAUUUUUUAAAAUAGUCUAAAAAUAUUUACAGAACUCCGUACAUUUGGAUAUAUGUUAAAACAAUAUUAUAUCAUGAACUCAUAAGAAAACUUUUCACAUAAAUAUAAUUAAUGACCCUUCGCAAAGCUAAAUUAAUUGUUUUAAUUUUCCAAAAGAUUAUAUAAUUUAAUUGGAGUAUAUAAUAGUAGAUUGAAUAUUGAUGUUCAUACAAAAUAAUAUAUGCACUAUUUAGCAUGAGAAGUCUAAUAUCGUCUCAACAAAUUUGCAGUUCUUUACAAAACUAUUAUAAAUAAAAAAAUAGUAAUAUUUGUUCUAAUUUAAUAUAAAAGUUAAUUUAUAGUUAAAAAUUAAAAGAUCUAUCUUUAAAUAUAUAUAUAUAUAUAUAUAUAUUCAAGCUAUAUAAUCAUUCAAUAUUCAAAGUUUUUCUCAAAAAUUUAACAUAUAAAGUGUAAAAUAUUUUCUUUUCACUAACUAUAUUUGUUAUUGAAAAUCUGAAAAUUUGUAAGAUAUAUAUUUAUAUCCUCUUUAAACAUAAUUUCCCCCCAAAAGUUAUUGUUUAAGAAUUUAUAAAAGGAUAAUAUAAUUUAUUUUCAAUUAAAAGAAUAUAUUGUUUGAUAGAGUAGAUAAUUGCAUGUACAUUGAAUAAUCCUUAUUUCACAUAAAUAGUACAUGUACUGUUUAAAAUAAUAUACUUAUUGUAAAAUAUUCAACAUGCAACGUUUUUUAAUGAAGAUUUAACAUAUAAAAUUUACCUAAAUGAUAUUUUAUUCGUAUCCUAAUUUCAGAAAAUAAAAAUAAAAUAAAAAUUAACUAUAAAUAUCUUUAUUUAAAAAAGGAUAUAAUUUUUUUAUUUUAAAAUGAAAAAUAUAUAUUAUUUGAUAGAGUAGAUUAUUGUACAUUGAAUAUGCCUUAUUUCACAAAAAUAAUAUAGGUAGUAUAUAAAAAUAAAAAUAAAAGUAUUUUUAAAAGGGUACAAUAAUUUAUUUUCAAACCAAAAUUAAAUAUUAUUUGAUAUUGUAGAUAAUUGUUAAUUGAAUAAACCUUGUGUCACAUAAAUAAUAUAUGUACUGUUUAAAGAAAAACCACCUAUUGUGAAAUAUUUUACAGAUAAUCUUUUUUUAAAUGAAGAUAUAACAUAUAAAGUUUAAUUAAUCUUUUAUUCCUAUCUUGAAAUAAAAAAGUAAAAAAUAUAUAAAACUUAGUAUAAAUAUCAUUAUUUAUAAAAGGAUAAAAUAUUUUAUUUUCAAACCAAAUAUAUAUAGUAUUUGAUAGAGUAGAUAAUUGUACAUUGAACAUGCCUUGUUUCACAUAAAUAAUAUAGGUACUAUAUAAAAAUAAAAAUAAAACUAUUUAGAAAAGGUUACAAUAAUUUAUUUUCAAACCAAAAGUAUAUAUUAUUUGAUAUUGUAGUUAAUUGAUAAUUGAAUAAGCCUCGUGUCACAUAAAUAAUAUAUGUACUAAUUAAAAAAACACCUAUUGUAAAAUAUUUUACAU